rnacentral:rRNA from 1 species
UACGUAGGGUGCGAGCGUUGUCCGGAAUUACUGGGCGUAAAGAGCUCGUAGGCGGUUUGUCGCGUUGUUCGUGAAAUCUCACGGCUUAACUGUGAGCGUGCGGGCGAUACGGGCAGACUAGAGUACUGCAGGGGAGACUGGAAUUCCUGGUGUAGCGGUGGAAUGCGCAGAUAUCAGGAGGAACACCGGUGGCGAAGGCGGGUCGCUGGGCAGUAACUGACGCUGAGGAGCGAAAGCGUAGGGAGCGAACAGG